CAGAAGGAGGCAAUGUAUAUGCAACUGGUGGAAAUAAUGAAGGACAGUUGGGGCUUGGUGACACCGAAGAAAGAAACACUUUUCAUGUAAUUAGCUUUUUUACAUCUGAGCAUAAGAUUAAGCAGCUGUCUGCUGGAUCUAAUACUUCAGCUGCCCUAACUGAGGAUGGAAGACUUUUUAUGUGGGGUGACAAUUCCGAAGGGCAAAUUGGUUUAAAAAAUGUAAGUAAUGUCUGUGUCCCUCAGCAAGUGACCAUUGGGAAACCUGUCUCCUGGAUCUCUUGUGGAUAUUACCAUUCAGCUUUUGUAACAAGUAAGACACAUUUUGAAGUCAUCAUGUUAUCUCCCACUUCUAUGUUGUUAUUAAAUUAAUAAUGAAAUGA
rnacentral:sRNA from 1 species